rnacentral:rRNA from 1 species
UUGACGGGGGCCCGCACAAGCGGAGGAACAUGUGGUUUAAUUCGAUGAUACGCGAGGAACCUUACCCGGGCUUGAAAUGCAUCUGACCGGCCUUGAAAGAGGCACUCCCUUCGGGGCAGAUGUGUAGGUGCUGCAUGGUUGUCGUCAGCUCGUGCCGUGAGGUGUCGGCUUAAGUGCCAUAACGAGCGCAACCCUCAUCAUUAGUUACCAUCAGGUAAGGCUGGGGACUCUAAUGAGACUGCCAUCGUAAGAUGUGAGGAAGGUGGGGAUGACGUCAAAUCAGCACGGCCCUUACGUCCGGGGCGACACACGUGUUACAAUGGGUGGUACAAAGGGCAGCUACCUGGCGACAGGAUGCUAAUCUCGAAAACCGCUCUCAGUUCGGAUCGGAGUCUGCAACUCGACUCCGUGAAGCUGGAUUCGCUAGUAAUCGCGCAUCAGCCACGGCGCGGUGAAUACGUUCCGGGCCUU